rnacentral:piRNA from 1 species
GUGGAUUCAAUUGAGGCAUAUUUGGAU